UUGGAGGGCAAGUCUGGUGCCAGCAGCCGCGGUAAUUCCAGCUCCAAUAGCGUAUAUUAAAGUUGUUGCAGUUAAAAAGCUCGUAGUUGAAUUUCGAGAUUCGUCCAUUGGUCAGGCUUAACUGUCUGUACUGGUGUGUCGGAUUUCUACCUUCUGAAGAACCUUUAUGCCAUUAAUUUGGUGUGUUGGGGAAUCAGGACUGUUACUUUGAAAAAAUUAGAGUGUUUAAAGCAGGCUAACGUCUGAAUACAUUAGCAUGGAAUAAUGAAAUAGGACGGUACGGUUCUAUUUUGUUGGUUUCUAGGAUCGCCGUAAUGAUUAAUAGGGAUAGUUGGGGGCAUUAGUAUUCAAUUGUCAGAGGUGAAAUUCUUGGAUUUAUUGAAGACUAACUACUGCGAAAGCAUUUGCCAAGGAUGUUUUCAUUAAUCAAGAACGAAAGUUAGGGGAUCGAAGACGAUCAGGUACCGUCGUAGUCUUAACCAUAAACUAUGCCGACUAGGGAUCGGAUGAUGUUAAUUUUUUAAUGACUCAUUCGGCGCCUUACGGGAAACCAAAGUGUUUGGGUUC
rnacentral:rRNA from 1 species